rnacentral:rRNA from 1 species
AUUGAACGCUGGCGGCAUGCUUUACACAUGCAAGUCGAACGGUAACAGGCCGCAAGGUGCUGACGAGUGGCGAACGGGUGAGUAAUGCAUCGGAACGUGCCCAGUCGUGGGGGAUAACGCAGCGAAAGCUGCGCUAAUACCGCAUACGAUCUCUGGAUGAAAGCGGGGGACCGAAAGGCCUCGCGCGAUUGGAGCGGCCGAUGUCAGAUUAGGUAGUUGGUGGGGUAAAGGCCCACCAAGCCAACGAUCUGUAGCUGGUCUGAGAGGACGACCAGCCACACGGGGACUGAGACACGGCCCAGACUCCUACGGGAGGCAGCAGUGGGGAAUUUUGGAAAAUGGGCGCAAGCCUGAUCCAGCAAUGCCGCGUGCAGGAAGAAGGCCUUCGGGUUGUAAACUGCUUUUGUACGGAACGAAAAGGUCUGGGUUAAUACCCUGGGCUGAUGACGGUACCGUAAGAAUAAGCACCGGCUAACUACGUGCCAGCCGCCGCGGUAAGAC